rnacentral:rRNA from 1 species
UAGUCAUAUGCUUGUCUCAAAGACUAAGCCAUGCAUGUCUAAGUAUAAACGUUUUGUACAGUGAGACUGCGGAUGGCUCAUUAAAUCAGUUAUAGUUUAUUUGAUGAUCUUUUACUACUUGGAUAACCGUAGUAAUUCUAGAGCUAAUACAUGCAAAAAGUCCUGACUUCGGAUUCGUUCUGAUGGAAAGGAUGUAUUUAUUAGAUUAAAAACCAAUACAGGUCACAAGCCUGUUUUAGUUGGUGAUUCAUAAUAACUGAGCGAAUCGCAUAAAAGC